GCAAUCUGCCCUGUACUUUGGGAUAAGCCUGGGAAACUGGGUCUAAUACCGGAUAUGACUGAGCCUCGCAUGGGGUUUGGUGGAAAGCUCCGGCGGUACAGGAUGAGCCCGCGGCCUAUCAGCUUGUUGGUGGGGUAAUGGCCUACCAAGGCGACGACGGGUAGCCGGCCUGAGAGGGUGACCGGCCACACUGGGACUGAGACACGGCCCAGACUCCUACGGGAGGCAGCAGUGGGGAAUAUUGCACAAUGGGCGCAAGCCUGAUGCAGCGACGCCGCGUGAGGGAUGACGGCCUUCGGGUUGUAAACCUCUUUCGCCAGGGACGAAGCGCAAGUGACGGUACCUGGAUAAGAAGCACCGGCUAACUACGUGCCAGCAGCCGCGGUAAUACGUAGGGUGCGAGCGUUGUCCGGAAUUAUUGGGCGUAAAGAGCUCGUAGGCGGUUUGUCGCGUCGUUCGUGAAAACUCCACGCUUAACGUGGAGCGUGCGGGCGAUACGGGCAGACUUGAGUUCGGUAGGG
rnacentral:rRNA from 1 species